UACGUAGGGUGCGAGCGUUAAUCGGAAUUACUGGGCGUAAAGCGUGCGCAGGCGGUUUUGUAAGCCAGAUGUGAAAGCCCCGAGCUUAACUUGGGAAUUGCGCUUGUGACUGGCGUGCUGGAGUGUGGCAGAGGGAGGUGGAAUUCCACGUGUAGCAGUGAAAUGCGUAGAGAUGUGGAGGAACACCGAUGGCGAAGGCAGCCUCCUGGGCCAGCACUGACGCUCAUGCACGAAAGCGUGGGGAGCAAACAGG
rnacentral:rRNA from 1 species